rnacentral:piRNA from 1 species
UGGGGCAUUCUGGCUUUGUCUUAGGUAGA